CUGACCAAUCAGAGGCGAGAAGGGAAAAUUAAAGGCAACGUGUAACUUUACUACCAGUGAAACGCCCGAAACGUCGCAAUAAUCCUGAUUGAUCUGACUGUUGUAUUUUGGAUAAAAAUCAUUUUAGAUCAGAUGACUGCUGCAUGAAAUCUUCGCAUGGUUGGAGGGUUAGAAUGCCAGGCAGAGACGUUGGAGUAGGAGACAAGAUGAUGUUUCAACUUUGGUUCCUUUCUACUCGACUGUGAUUUGAUUUGGGGUCGUAGUUCAGGUAUAAUUUGAACCUUUGAGAUGCUAAACAGCUGCUCCAAGUUGCAAAAAUAUAUUAUCGCCACAUUUACGCUUUGGAAUGAGCAGAUUGUGGUCUUUCAUUUCGUCCCAAUCAACUCGCACAGCAACCAGAGACUUGAGCAGUUUAUUCUGAGUUACAAUAUAAGGACAUUAAUUCCCAUUUACAGUUCAUCGUAGAGGUAUUUGAAGAAAAACAAGUUUGGUUUUCCUUCCACUGUGCAGUCGUGCAACUUUGUGCUGGUGUAUAGCAUAAAUUCCCAAUUAAACAUUGUUUUUUCAUGGUUCCAACAUGACGUGUAGCUGUUUCUUCUAAAGGAGUUUAGGAAACAUCAAAAUGAAGAUUUAGGAGUUUGAGCUGAAUGUGUCAAUCUACACCAGGGCUAGGCAAUACGGCUUAAAAAUAAAGAUCCAGAUUCUUUCAUACCAGAUCUGAUUUCUUAAUUAAUUACACAGGA